CCUCCAGACUCCUACGGGAGGCAGCAGUGAGGAAUAUUGGUCAAUGGGCGGGAGCCUGAACCAGCCAAGCCGCGUGAGGGAAGAAGGUACAGCGUAUCGUAAACCUCUUUUGUCAGGGAACAAAGGCGGGGACUAGUCCCCGGAUGAGGGUACCUGAAGAAAAAGCAUCGGCUAACUCCGUGCCAGCAGCCGCGGUAAUACGGAGGAUGCGAGCGUUAUCCGGAUUUAUUGGGUGUAAAGGGUGCGUAGACGGGAAAUUAAGUUAGUUGUGAAAUCCCUCGGCUCAACUGAGGAACUGCAACUAAAACUGAUUUUCUUGAGUGCAGGAGAGGUAAGUGGAAUUCCUAGUGUAGCGGUGAAAUGCGUAGAUAUUAGGAGGAACACCAGUGGCGAAGGCGACUUACUGGACUGUAACUGACGUUGAGGCAC
rnacentral:rRNA from 1 species